AGAGUUUGAUCCUGGCUCAGGACGAACGCUGGCGGCGUGCUUAACACAUGCAAGUCGAACGAGGUCCAACCAGUCGCAAGACUGGGGAAGACCUAGUGGCGAACGGGUGAGUAACACGUGAGGAACGUGCCCCGGAGACCGGGAUAACAGCGGGAAACCGCUGCUAAUACCGGAUACCUUCCUUUGAUCGCAUGGUCGUUGGAAGAAAUGGAUUCCGCUCCGGGAGCGCCUCGCGGUCUAUCAGCUUGUUGGUGGGGUAACGGCCCACCAAGGCUACGACGGAUAGCUGGUCUGAGAGGACGAUCAGCCACACUGGGACUGAGACACGGCCCAGACUCCUACGGGAGGCAGCAGUGGGGAAUCUUGCCCAAUGGGCGAAAGCCUGAGGCAGCAACGCCGCGUGUGGGAUGAAGGCCCUUGGGUUGUAAACCACUUUCAGCAGGGACGAAGAUGACGGUACCUGCAGAAGAAGCCCCGGCCAACUACGUGCCAGCAGCCGCGGUAAGACGUAGGGGGCGAGCGUUGUCCGGAUUUAUUGGGCGUAAAGGGUUCCUAGGCGGCUGAGAAAGUCAGGUGUGAAACCUCCAGGCUCAACCUGGAGACGCCACCUGAUACUGCUCUAGCUAGAGUCCGGUAGGGGCGUACGGAAUUCCCGGUGUAGCGGUGAAAUGCUUAGAUAUCGGGAGGAACACCAGUGGCGAAGGCGGUACGCUGGGCCGGAACUGACGCUGAAGAACGAAAGCGUGGGUAGCAAACAGGAUUAGAUACCCCCGUAGUCC
rnacentral:rRNA from 1 species